CAGGCCUAACACAUGCAAGUCGAGCGGUAGCGGUAAAGAUUUCGGUCUUUAGCCGACGAGCGGCGGACGGGUGAGUAAAGUCUGGGGAUCUAUCUUGUGGAGGGGGACAACCACUGGAAACGGUAGCUAAUACCGCAUAACGUCUUCGGACCAAAGUGGGGGACCCUCGGGCCUCACACCAUCGGAUGUGCCCAGAUGGGAUUAGCUAGUAGGUGGGGUAAUGGCUCACCUAGGCGACGAUCCCUAGCUGGGAUGAGAGGAUGACCAGCCACACUGGAACUGAGACACGGUCCAGACGCCUACGGGAGGCAGCAGUGGGGAAUAUUGCACAAUGGGCGCAAGCCUGAUGCAGCCAUGCCGCGUGUAUGAAGAAGGCCUUCGGGUUGUAAAGGACUUUCAGCGGGGAGGAAGGCGAUGUGGUUAAUAACCGCAUCGAUUGACGUGACCCGCAGAAGAAGCACCGGCUAACUCCGUGCCAGCAGCCGCG
rnacentral:rRNA from 1 species